rnacentral:rRNA from 1 species
UACGGAGGGAGCUAGCGUUGUUCGGAAUUACUGGGCGUAAAGCGCGCGUAGGCGGCUUUGUAAGUCAGAGGUGAAAUCCCGGAGCUCAACUCCGGAACUGCCUUUGAGACUGCAUCGCUUGAAUCCGGGAGAGGUGAGUGGAAUUCCGAGUGUAGAGGUGAGAUUCGUAGAUAUUCGGAAGAACACCAGUGGCGAAGGCGGCUCACUGGACCGGUAUUGACGCUGAUGUGCGAAAGCGUGGGAAGCAAACAGG